rnacentral:lncRNA from 1 species
CCGGAGUUGUCGGUGGCGGCGAGGAAGUCGCCCUUGUCGGAGAACUGGGCGUAGCAUUCGUUGUAGACGAGGAUGGCGUCCUUGGUGCGGUUGCAGGUCGGCCCCGCGACCGCGUCCCUCGAGACGUUGGUGCCACAGCCGGCGCAGUCGGAGGAGCUCAGGUCGCCGCGGCAGAGCAAGAGGCCGUAGACGGUGUCCGGGGCGGAGCCGAGGGCGCCGGAGGCGAAGAGGGUGGGCGAGGACCCCGAGGAGGCGUUCGUGCGGAGGAUGAGCGCGAGGUUCUUGAGGUUGGUUUCGUAGGUGCUCCCUGCUGUGAACGUGCCGCCGUUGCCGCAUUUCGGCCACGGCUGGGCGGCCAGCGACUCGAGGAGCGCGACCGCCGCGAAGAAGAGAACGGCAUGGACGACAGACGAGCGUCGGCGUCGCAACAUUGCGCCGAUAGAGCUAGGAUGCAGCUAGCUAGGGGCGUGGGAUAGAUGGCAGUAUAAAACUAACACGGGGUGCAUCCCCUUAAAAAGGAUAUUCGAUCGCGUCAAAAAAAAAGAAGGAUAUUGAUCUCGUCUUUGGCAAGUUGGGCAUGCCAUGCAUAGUCCAUAUAGACUGAAUUCUCUGAUCACCAUUAGGUACGUGUGUACUUAUGUGCAUGCAGACGUGUUUCAUCGUUUGAACGAAGAAAAAGGGAAAUGGAAUUAUUCAAGUUGGUCGUCGAGAUUAACAGUAUCUUGGGAACGAACUCAUAGCCGCUAUUUCUUUUAUUUUUUACAGCUCGCACUAGACAGUGCAAAGUUCAUAUUGAUAUAGCAGGAAAAAAAAUUACAAGAUUACAACCCUACACUAAAAUAAAAUAAAAUAAAUCUAUACUACCUACGUGUAUGAAAUGUUGACAUAUAUAUGUAACUGAUAAAUCUAUAUACUAAAGCAGGGAAUACAAAUCAACUGCAGGAAUUUGAACUAGUGAAAUGGGCAGAUCAGCUUGACAACUUGUAUUUGAUUGAAAUGGCUUAUUGACCUAAUUACUAUUAGUAGAAUUCAGACAAAACUAGCUAGCUGACAAACUAACAAAACUAGAUACCGAUUGCUCACAAAAAUAUAAUCAAAUCAAGAAGUCAAUUAACUAGCUUCCAUGAAAUUACUAGAGCUAGCUGAACCAAGUUUUUUUUUGAGGGGUAAAAGCAGGAGCUCUGCCUAUUUCAUAAAAGGAGAAGAGAGGGAAACCGAGCUUGUACAAGCAAGGUUACAAAAGGAUCCCAAGGGGACCCCUUCCAAGGUCAAGUUGGUCAAGUUGAACCAAGCUGAACCAAGUUUUAAAUUCACAAAACUAACUGCUGACAAAAUUAGAUCAAGUCAUAUUUAGUAGCCAACAAAACUAACAACACCAUGAACUAAUUAAUUAUUGAUUAAACUAGCUGCUAACAAAACUGCAUUUAGUUAUAUAUGAAUUCAGACAAAACUAACAAAAUCAGGUACUAAUUGCUGACAAAACUAACUGUUGACCAAAUUGCUCCUUGGCUUAUACAAAUUCAGUCGAAACUAAAACUUUAACAAAACUGACCACCAAGCACUGACAAAACUGACAUUAAGAUAUUUGGUUUAGCUAACAAAAUAGGCGAAAAAACAAAUUUGACUGUAAAUAUACGUUAACUAGAUGUUGUUUAAUUUGUUUUUUUCGUUACGAGAUAUAAAAGUUGAAUUUGAACUUAUAUGUUUGUGGAGUGUUAUAUCACAUGUUAAUACAUCUUCUUAAUUUUUUCCAAUUUUUUUCGUAACCAUUUGAGUAACAUGCAAAUAACGAUGUCCCCUCGAGGGAUUAAAAUAUAUAGUUUCCCGUCUAGUGACUAUUCUUGUUUAUUAUGUUCAGGUCCUAACAAAACUAGUCCACAAAAUUCUGGUGUUAUUUAUUGACGACAUAAUAUAUCUAGCCACAUUUAAAGUUUGGAAAAAAGCUAGCAUAACAACAUUGACUCAAUAUGCAUCUACAUGCAUGGCUACAAAACAUUUUAGAAUGGGAUUAUUGUCAACAUGUUCGCACGCAUAGCCGCACAUACUAGGACCCCAACCAGCAAAAUCGUUGAGCUUGCCUCGGAUGUAGAAGGUGGAGCAUGACCUCGGCAUCGUAGAGCACGACGAGCUCGUACGCCUUCUUGACCAGACCAUUCUUGUGCUUGGAAAAGGUCACCUGUCUGUUGAUCUUGUUCUCGAUCCGCUUCAGCUCCACCCUCCCCGUCACAAUGCCUACCUCAUCCACAACCUCCUCACCCUCACGCUACUCCUCUACAACCUAGAAACCUUUCUCCUGCAGCUAACAUCUAGCUCAAUCGAUUGAUCUCACGAAACGAAGCUAUGGAAUGUACCUAGACAGAGAAAAAAAAAGGUGAGGAGGAGGAAGGGAAGAGGAGAGUAGAGUUUUAAAUAGGAAGGGGGGAUCGGUGCCUGUCCCCCCCCCCCCCCCCCUCGCGAGUAAUGUAGGCGUAUGAACAAGGUACAUCAAAGGUUAUCUUGGUGAGCCAAAUCAACACAAAUCUUGGAGUGAUCUAGCGGCCACAAAUUCGGCUUACAAAACCAAAAACAAUAGCAGGUAGAUGGGUAGCAAAUCCCUAAUUUAAUAAUAAUUAAAUUAUAAAUUACUCCACCCAUCUCAAAAUAUACAUGCCUAGUACUACGAAUCCAAAUAUAAAUAUGUAACAUAUGCAAAUCUUCACUUAACUACUUCACUAACUUAAGUUUGAAAUUCGCAAUUAAUGAUUAGCAGGUUGUAAUAGGCGUGCAUGCACUUUUUUAAGCUAAACAAGUAUUUACAAAGAAAAACAAUAUGUUAGCUUGGAAGACUGGUACCUACCCUAAUCUCGAGGUUACUGUUUAACAAUAUAAUUGCUUGUCUGGUCUUCCUUCUCGGGCGCCCCUAAUGGGACCCGCCCCUCCCCUAUACUCCUCUCCCUUCUCUCUUUUCAUCAUAUAUUUUUUUAAAAAAACAAAGUUAGUAAAAAAAAUAGAAAAAAAAUUAAUACUCUCAUUCAUGUGCAUAGACUUUAUACCGUAAACUUUGCACGCAUAAAUUUUAUAUAUAGAAAUAUUCUAUAUAUAAAAUAUUUGAAUCCGAAUUUGAAUUUGGAUUGGGUAUAUAAACUUUUAACUUAUAAACAUUCGCUCUACAAACUUUAGAUGGAUAAAUUUUAGAUGUGUAAACUUUAGGUGUAUAAACUUACUAAAAGAGAAAAAUAAUGCACACAUAAACUUUACGUAUAGAAAUAUUCUAUAUAUAAAAUAUUUGAAUCCGAAUUUAAAUUUGAAUCGGGUAUAUAAACUUUUGACGCAUAAAUAUUCGCUCUACAAACUUUAGGUGGAUAAAUUUUAGAUGUGUAAACUUUAGGUGUAUAAACUUACUAAAAGAGGAAAGUAAAGCGGUGCCAAAAAUGGAAACUGCGUGGGGGGGAGGGGAACCGAUCGCCCCUCGCGAUCGAUCGCUCGAUAGGUUUUUCGUUCUCGUUAAGUCACACUAUAGACUCAUGCCUUGCGCAGCUGCGUGAAAAUGUGUCAUACAACGCCAUAAGCCCAUUUUGUGUUCCCAUUGAUGGUCUUGUUUCAGAGGAUAAUUUCUCAAUCCAUCAUGUUAAACCUCUAUUGGAUGGGUCAUAAUCUUGACAGAUUCUGGUGCAUGCAUUGAACUUUAGUUCAAAUUACCGGCCUACAAAUGUUGGUGAGCUGGAUUGAAGCCCAUUUAACAAGGCCUAAUAAUAGCUUUUGAAUAGACGGGUUUGACCUCAUGAGUUUCUGUUAACGGUGAAAUUUGGCAACAGUUUCUUGAUUUACCUCAUUGGUGUCACCUUGUUUAUAACUAAUCAUGACUAUAAAUUAACAGCAAAAUCAUGACAUCCGCCAUUGUAGGUCGAUCUACUGGGUUCUGCUGGACACACAGGAGGCCGAUGUUGACACAUUUCAGCACCUCGGCUUCAGGGUAGUUUCUGUCCAAGGAAUAGUCUACCAUCUCUACAAUAUUUCCCUCUGUCCAGUGCCUCCAUACCUAGCAUUAGUUAUAUAUAGAUCUCCAGUUAUCAGUAAUAUAGAUGGUACAUAUGAGUGGUUUUCUGGAAACAUAAGCAAUAUUAGUGUAUUGAUUUGUAGGAAUUAGAAGGGAUACUCACUAGGCUUACUAAAUCUUCGUUUUGCUCUGCAAAAUAGGGCCCACUGUUUCUUUGCCCUGUCACAAUCUCUAAGAUGAGAAUGCCAAAACUAAACACGUCUGAUUUCGUAGAGUAUUGCCCGCGAAUCACAUACUCAGGAGCCAUGUAUCCACUGCAUGCAGUAAGAAUGAAAUUGCAUGUUAGUACGUAGUUUUUAAGUGAAAUAUUGGCACAUAAGCUUCAAGUGUUCUGCUUAAUUACAAUGUCCCAACGAUACGGUUCGUGACGUCCCGAGUUUGGUCUUGCCCGAAGAGCCUAGCAAGGCCAAAGUCCCCAAUCUUGGGGUUCAAGUCUGCAUCUAGCAAGACGUUGCUUGCCUUCAUGUCGCGGUGAACAAUCUUCUUCUGGGAGUCUUGAUGAAGAUACUGCAAUCCACGAGCGACGCCUUCUAUGAUCCUAAAUCGUGUUGCCCAAUCUAGUUGUCUUCGUUGCUCCACGUCUAAUUAGCCCCAAAUGAAGACAUCAUUGUAAUUGUUGCACACCAUCACAUGAGAAAGAAGUGCAUGACCAUAUAUACUGAAAGGAGGUGUUAAUAUUACCGAAAAGAAAUGUGUCGAGACUUUUAUUGGGCAUAUACUCAUAGACAAGCAACCUCUCUCCAUCUUCCAGGCAAAAACCCACAAGACGAACAAGAUUUUUGUGAUGAAGUUUGGUGACAAGAACUAGCUCAUUUUUCAGCUCUUCUAGCCCCUGAUUUGAACCUUUUGCCAUCCUUUUCACUGCUACUUCUUGUCCAAAAAGAUGCCCCUGCAUAUUUUUUACUUUUCAUUGAUAUACUGUAUUUUGUAAUGGUUUAAAAACCUGAGUGCUGUAAAAUAGUUUACAAUUAUUGGUGUUUCUAAUAAAGAAAGAUCGAAAGAUCUUUUGUAGAAAAUAAAAAUCAUCAUCAUCAUCAAUGGAGAAAAACUUUUAGAUAUUCAUAUUUUGAGCUUUUGACCAUGCUUGACUCGCACCAUCAAAUCAACAAUUAUUUUUGAAAAAGAAGUCAGCAAUGACUCAAAAGUUACACAUAAAGACUACUGGCAUACCUUAUACACUGCACCAAAUCCUCCUUCGCCGAGUUUCUUGCUUUCGUCGAAGUUAUCCGUUGCUACUUGCAGUGAUCCCAGAGUUAGCAAGGUUGACUUGACACUUUCAAGGUCCUCAGAUGCAUCAACUGCAAAAAUUUGCAUGGAUUCGAUAGAACAAUCAAUUCAUACUGAUGAUUAAGAAUUUUAAGUGGGGUUUGUAAACAAUCCGAUGCCAUAUUGUAUUUGUGCAGAGGACUCACGUUCGGACAAAUGCUCUGCUUUUGUCGCUCUGCUCUUCUUCCGAACAGUCCACAUGCAGACAGAAAUUGCAGCUACGAUUGCAACUGCUACUAUCGGCAAGACAAUUAGCAGAAUUUUGCUUGCUGAAUUCUUCUUAACUGCAUAUUUCAGUGAAAAAUAAUCAGUUCAAGCAUCGGAGAUGAGUAAACAUUAGGUGCAGAUGACGUGAAGACUGAAGAGACGUGACGUGAUCACUUUGAUGGGUAGAGUAAUUGGUAUGCUGCUCACCUAACGUAGUGGCCGGAACAACAUCCGGCGCCGGCGCCGACGCCGGUGAGAGCCCGUCGGCUCGCAGCAGAACCAUCGGAGCUCCGGUGUAGAACCCGGAGCCGAGCUCGGACCUCAGGUAGCACCGGGGGCCGGCGACCCUCGCGCCCUCGCCGUUCCGCGGGAACAAGAACCCCGUCCACCACUGGCCCACGAGGCCGUCGAGGCAGCUCCGGCACUGCGCCGGCGACAGGUCCGGCGAGCACUGCGCCAUGGAGUAGAUGUUACGGAACCCCGGGUCGGCGCCCACCCGCUGGCCCGUGGCGAACAGCCUCGUGGAGUUCUCCACCGCGUACCGCACGGUGGCGUUGAGGAGCUCGGUGACCGCGCGGUCGUAGCCGGCGACGUCGGCGCUGCUGAUGUUGGUGCCGCUUAUGAGGAGGCUGUACGCGCCGGAGUUGUUGGUGGCGGCGAGGAAGUCGCCGGUGUCCGAGAACUGGGCGUAGCACUGGUUGUAGACGAGGAUGGCGUCCUUGGUGCGGUUGCAGGCCUGGGCGACGUCGUCGCCGACCCUGGUGCCGCAGUCGAAGCAGUCGGAGGGGUUCAUGUCGCCGCGGCAGAGCAGGAGGCCGUAGACGGCGUCCGGGCCGGCGCCGCGGACGCCGGAGGCGAAGAGGGUGGGGGAGGCGGAGGCGUUCGCGCGGAGGGUGCUCGCGAGGCGCAGGAGGUUGGACUCGUAGGUGCUCCCCGCCGUGUAGUUGCCGCCGCUGGUGCCGCAGACAGGCCAUGGCUGGGCGGCGGCGAGCGGGAGCGCGACCGCCGCGACGAGGAGGAGGAGGAGAACGGCAUGGAGGACAGAGGAGCGCCGCCGCAUGGCGCCGUCAGAGCAAGCUUGUUCGAUCGUCGGGCUUUGCAUUGCAAUUGCAAAUUUGCAAUCCUCUGCUAAUGGUACCUACUCCACUACUGCAGUAUCAUAUCGGUAAACUGUUUUAAUAGCCAGUGGACGUCCACCCAUUUAUUGCAUGUUAUCUAGAUGAAUAUAAAAAAAUUAAAAAAAUAUGAAUAAGAUAGAUCAAUAUGUAAUAUAUCAAUCCACAAACAUGCAAAUUAAAAUUUAACUUUUACAAAUUGUAAUAAAAAUAACAAAAAAAACUCAAAUUAUUAUAGGUAUGUUUACAAUUAAAUUUGUUAUUUUUGUUACAACUUGUAGAAGUUGAAUUUGAAUUUGCAUGUUCGUUGGAGUAAUAUAUUAUAUAUUGAUCUGUCUUGUUAGUUUUUUUGAAAAUUUUUCGUAACCAUCUAAUUGACAUGCAAUAAACGGGUGGACGUCCACUCGAGCUAUUAGAAUCCAUCUCCGUAUCAUAUCUUCUUGUUUUUUUUCUCUUUUUUACAAGCUUUUAGUACAGUACUACCUAUACUUUUGGAAGUGAUGGCUCUUGACAAGUUGUCAACUUGGCAAUUGCCAUGCGAUGGCCGAUUGGCCGAGGCCGACAGGUCAGACUGAAUUCAGUGAACCCGUCUGGUGGAUGUCAAAUGGCACGUGGGACAGGGACUAAUUAUAUAUUCGUCGACAUCACGGAAACCUCUCUGUAGCAGCUGUUUGCACCCUGCCUUAAAAAAGGAACACGCAUGCUAUAUAUCGCUUAAUUAGUCAAAUGAAACUUGACCCAUUUCUAACUCAAAAUGACUGUUGCGGUCGCGUAUGGAAUGAUAUCGAGAAAAAUCGGUGCAUGGCUAUGUGUAAACCGUUCCACUUUUUACCGUACGUAUACGUUCAAACUUGGAGGCGUGUAACCACGCGCGCUGUACGUCGUGAUUCAACUAUGACCCCGUGCCAGGUUUUCGGCUAAUAAAGGGUAGGAUUUGCCAAUAUACGCCUAUUUUCAGUCAGGAGAGCACGCGCAGCGCGACGAAUCAGUCACUGGACUAUAUUUGGACUGGAGAGAGGCAGCAAGGUCGCGGGUCGCGCGCGGCACACGCGCGCGCACGCACGCAUGCAUGGCCGCCUCUCUCGUCGAUGCGGGCCGGCCGGCACCCAACAUAUAACUCCUACAUGAGCGCGCGGUGAGGCGAUGGCACGUAUGUGCCGGUGUCCUCCGCGCGCGCAUCCCAGCACGUUCGGCUCGGCCGGUGUGAUCAGCGUCGGGCAGCACGUACGUACGAGCACGGUGAGGAGCAAAAGGACAUGACAUGAUAUGAGUAUAUGAUCACCAACCGCCGGCCUGCCUGCAUGGUGCCUGUGGAAGGGAGAAACUAUAUAACAUUCCGACAGUUUUUGUUAAAAUCUUUCAAAUAUUACUCUAGUAUACUAGCAUAUUGCCUGUGCAUGGCAACGGGUUUCCAAUUAAAGAAAAUUUUUAUUAAUAUGUUAUUAUUAUCUCUUAAUUGUUGUACGUAUUUGUUACUUAUAUGUGAAUCUUGUUAGAGCAUCACCAACUAUCCACCUACUCCCUCCGUCUUAUUAUCCUAUAUAAUAAAGGAUUUUGACUUUCUGCUUGUACUGUUUGACCACUCGUCUUAUUCAAAAAAUUUGUGUAAAUAUAAAAAACAAAAAGUUAUGCUUAAAGUACUUUGGAUAAUAAAGUAAAUCACAAAUAAAAUAAAUAAUAAUUCUAAAAUUUUUUGAAUAAGACGAAUGGUUAAACAAUGCAAGCAAAAAGUCAAAAUCCCUUAUAUUAUGGGACGGAGAGAGUAUUUCAUUUCGAAAAUUGAAUUUGAGAGAUUUUAGUCCAAAACACAGCUCCAACGGAUCCGCUACUCUCCUGCCGAAGUUUCCGAGUUCUUUUUAUUUACAAAUGAGUCACUUUUUAUUACAACUAGGUCCUUUUUCUUUUCUUUUCUUUUUUGCAAAUUUCCUCGACACCAAUGUUGGUGGUGCCGUUCUCCUUCACAUUAGUGACUUAGCUUUCACCCGAGGGUGGAGAGGACGGCGCCAACGUCCUUGGUGCUGUCAUGUUGGACCACGGCACCAACUACAUUGGCGCCGCGAAAAGCACCAUUUCUAAAAUAAGUUAUUUUAAGGAUUUAUUUGUAGAAUAAGUUUUUUUUCAAAAGAACUAAAAGGUGAAAAAUCCAGUUCUGGAGUUCCAUCUCCCAAAUCCUAGCUCGGUUGAUAUGAGGGCGCACGAUCUCGCCUCUACCACUCCCAAUCUCACGCUCCCGCCUCUCUCCUCCCGUUCCCGGGCGAGGGGCGAAAUGUUUUUGUCCGUGGGUGGAGGGCAUCCGUGAAGGACGAGCUCCUCAAGUCUGCAGCCGUCAUGGAGAAGCUCUCUCAGGUGCUGGAACCCGAUGAGACCGACGACCAUCACGCCAAAAUCCUGCAGCCAUCGCCGCCCAAGAGGACGGCCAACAUGAGCCGCCGCGAGAGUGCCACGUCGUCGUGCAGUACCGACGAGAAGGCCAUGAUCGCUGCAAAGCGCAAGCUCCGCGAAGUGUAUCAAGAAGCAGAGGACGCGAAGCGGCAGCUAGCGCACAAUUAAUCAAGGUGAUCGAGGCGCCGAAGUAGCACCCGAUCGUGUAUGAGAGAAACAGAUCGGGGGCCUCGACGAACACGUCGUUGCGUCGUAGAGUCUAGACUUCUUUCUUCCUCCAUGAUCUGAUGAUCAUGCCCAUCUCUCCGUAAAUUGAUGUGCGUAAUUAACUGAUUCUUUUGAGUUAAACAUGCUCGACCUGGAUUACUCGUGUAUUUGUAAACAACAAUCGAUGUGAUGGUGCCUUCGCCGUCGCGGAAGGAGGAGGAAUAUAUAACUGAUUUUUUUUAGUUGAUAGUUUACUAUGCGGUCCACUUUUCUAUUUUAGAGAGUCAAUUUUACACAAUCUAUUGGAAGGAUCACUUCUGUAACUUAUCAAAUUUCAUUUAGGAUUCCCAAAUUCAGAAUUUUGAAGAUUGAAUUUACACAUUCUAUUAGUGAUGCUCUUAGCUCCACUUUUUUUUUUCUUCCCGCAAAAGUAGGUGGUGACAAAAUCAUCACCACCACUACUAUAUUUUAUAAGGAGUAUAACGUAAUUAUAUUGUACUCCCUACUUCCCUAAAUGUUUGACACCGUUGACUUUUUUAAACAUGUUUGACCAUUCGUCUUAUUUAAAAACUUUUGUGAAAUAUGUAAAACUAUAUGUAUACAUAAAAAUAUAUUUAACAAUGAAUCAAAUGAUAUAAAAAGAAUUAAUAAUUACUUAAUUUUUUUAAAUAAGACGAACGGUCAAAUAUGUUUAAAAAAGUCAACGGCGUCAAACAUUUAGGAAUGGAGGGAGUAAUAACUAGUAGCAUGUAAUUGGAAUAUGUCAUGGAUGGACACAAACUCGAUGAUAAACAUUGAGCGAGACAAACUGGUCAAUGGUAUAUAUUUACUCUUUAUUAGUUGAACUUGGUUAUCAUGGAAUACAAAUUGAGAACUGAUACACUUACAAUAUAAAACAAAGCAAGCAGCAACAAGCCAACAACGGUGCUAGAUCUGCUUCGGCCCCCUGCUACCUGCCGGACCAUUGUGUUACGGUCUGGGAGUAACCAGAGGUCCCAUCGAUCAAAUAUGCUGGCCUAGGUGCAAGAGCUGGCAUAGUGCAAGUAGUGUCACUAUUGAGUAAAAUCAUGACAUCCGCCAUUGUAGGUCGAUCUACAGGGUUUUGCUGGACGCACAAGAGUCCAAUAUUGACACAUUUCAGCACCUCGGUCUCACUGUAGUUUCUUCCUAAGGAAUGAUCAAUCAUCUCUGCAAUUGCUCCCUCUUCCCAGUGCCUCCGUACCUAGCAACAUUAGUCACACAUAUGUGUUUAGUCAGCAGUAAUUACAAUAGGCAUGUAUUCCUCAAUGAAUUAGUAGGGAUGCUCACUAUGCUCAAUAUAUCUUCAUCGUUCUGCUCAGACAAAUAUGGCCCGCUAUUCCUUCUCCGGCCUGUCACGAUCUCUAUGACAAGAAUGCCAAAGCUGAACACGUCUGAUUUCGUAGAGUACUGUCCGCGCAGCACGUACUCAGGAGGCAUGUAACCGCUGCAUCAAAGAAGAAUUGCAUUUUAGUUUGUUAUCUAUAUAUGAGCGAAAAAUAAUGAGUGUUCCUUCGACUUAAUUACAAUGUCCCGGCGAUACGGCUUGUGACUUCUCGAGUCUGAUCCUGCCCAAAGAGCCUAGCAAGGCCAAAGUCCCCAAUCUUGGGGUUCAUGUCUGCGUCUAGUAAAAUGUUGCUCGCCUUCAUAUCACGGUGGACGAUCUUCUUUUGGGAGUCCUGAUGAAGAUAUUGUAGCCCCCGGGCAAUGCCUUCUAUUAUCUUAAAUCUUACCGCCCAGUCUAGUUUUCUCUUUUGCUCUGCAUCUAAUUACCAAAAGAAAAAAAUUGUUAUUGAUGGAGUGAAAAGACAAAAUAUGUAGGUUAAAAAGGGUAAUGCUAAUAGUACCAAAAAGAAAGGUGUCUAGGCUUUUAUUGGACAUGUACUCAUAGAUGAGUAAUCUCUCCCCCUCGUCAAGGCAAAAACCAACAAGACGAACAAGAUUUCUGUGAUGAAGUUUGGCGACAAGAACUAGCUCGUUUUUCAGCUCUUCCAGCCCCUGGUUGGAGCCCUUGGCCAUCCUCUUCACAGCCACUUCUUGUCCAUGAAGAAUUCCCUGAAUAAUUUAACUACUUGGCUUAGUAUCUUACUCCUCCUGGAUAUAAAUAUUUGAUAUUUAGGAUAAGUUUCGAUCAACUUUUGUAUUUUGGACCAUUUAUUUUAUAUUAGUACUAGUAAAUUUAUAAUAUCACGAGAGUAGUAAUUUUAAGGCAAAUCAAUAUAUACCAAUCCUUUAAACUAAUUAAUCAUUUAAGGAAUUAUUGAUGAUACAAAAUUUGAAAUUUUGACCAAAUUUGGUCUUAAAUAUUUAUAGGUGCGCUUUGGAACCCAUGUGAUACGUUAAACCAAGAGUUAUGGAUAGAGAUGUGUAUUUUGUAAUUUUAUGGACUCAGAUGACUUUUUAAUAAGUUUAACAACCAGACAUUCAUAUUUUCUUGCUUUUUGUAACGUCCAUUAUGAAAAAAAAAAGGUUAUAGCUAGGCUCAACUUAUUUAGUUAGACUACACACAUGCAUAUAUUUUACUAUAUAACGCUUAUAGCCCAAAAUAAUUCUAGGCCCGACUAGAUAAAAACGAUUUUAGACCCGACUCAUCUAAAUGGAAUACACCCUACACUGUAACACUAUCAUGUUUUACGUUCUCGCUUCACGCAAUAAGUUUAAACCAAUAUUAUAGUCAUGGAUCAGCUUAAACUCCUAAGUUGAAACUAAGAGCAAGUGUUAUAAUAGAUGUGACUACUACUUCUAAUUUUAUUUAUGUCUUUUAUUGGCAACAUAUCCACUAUAUCACAUAUAAUGUUCAAAUAGUAAUAUCUAUAAUACUCUCACGUUUUACUUGGAGUUUGCGUGGAUGUUGUCUUUUGAUUUAGAUUUAGGGUGGCUGAUCAUUUAAUCCUAUUUGGCAGCAUAUGGAACAUUUCUGAUGUGCUGUUGCUGGCUUGCUGCUGCGUGUGAUCUGCCAGCUAGCUAGCUAGCUUGCCUAGCCCAACUGCCGCUGCUCGUCCUGGGGGUCAAGAAGGCCCAAGGUCAACCGGGCCAAUUGCUCUACUACUGCUGGAGGCCCAAGGACUAAGGUCUCGUCCUGCUUUAUUAUUAUUUCCUCUAAUUAUUCUGGGACGUCACAUUUUUUUUUUAUCUAAAACCAAGGGCUGGAGCAGUAGUGCACCAAACCUCUGCGAUAUACUUCAAGAAGAGAAGUACACCACAAUUUGUGAUUAAUUAACAAUUGAGCAGUAGUGCAAUCGUACUUCUAGCCAUCUAGAAUUUAUAUUUUUGACCAUAUUCUGGGUUCACACCAUCAAAUCACACAACUUUUUCUCAAAGAAAUCAACAAUGAUACAAAAGUUAAAAAGUUAAGAGUACUCAUGCCAUACCUUAUAAACGGCACCGAAUCCCCCCUCACCAAUCUUAUUGCUUUCGUGGAAGUUAUCCGUUGCCACUUGCAGUGAUGCCAGAGAUAACAGGGUUGACUUGACACUUUCAAAGUCCUCAUUUGUAUCAGCUGGCAAGUUUGCAUAAUUUUGACUAAACUGUUAAUGGAUGCUCGUGGUAUAAGAAUGUUUAACAAGAAUUUAUGCCUAAUUGUGUGCAGAGGACUCACUUCCGGGGUGACGCUCUGCUUUUGCCAAUCUUCUCUUCUUACGUGCAUUCCAGAUACAGAGGGAAAUUACAGCUAUGAUGAUUGCAACUGACACUAUCGGCAAGAUAAUUACUAGAAUUUUGCUUCCUGAAUUAUUCUUACCUGCGUGAGCUCGUCGGCCUUGACCGGCAACCGCACCAUCGGAUUACCGGUGUAGAAGGGGCCCAGCUCGGACCUCAGGUAGCAGCGCGGGCCGGCGACCCUCGCCCCCUUCCCGUUGAGCGGGAACGUCUUCCACCACUGGCCCACGAGGCCGUCGAGGCAGCUCCGGCACUGCGCCGGCGACAGGUCCGGCGAGCACUGCGCCAUGGAGUAGAUGUUGCUGAACCCCGUGUCGUUCCCCACCCGCUGGCCCGUGGCGAACAGCUUCGUGGAGUUCUCCACCGCGUACCGCACGGUGGCGUUGAGGAGCUCGGUGACCGCGCGGUCGUAGCCGGCGACGUCGGUGCUGGUGAUGUUGGUGCCGCUUAUGAGGAGGCUCACCUCGCCGGAGUUGUUGGUGGCGGCGAGGAAGUCGCCCCUGUCGGAGAACUGGGCGUAGCAUUGGUUGUAGACGAGGAUGGCGUCCUUGGUGCGGUUGCAGGUUGGCCCCGCGUCCCUCCAGACGUUGGUGCCGCAGUCGAAGCAGUCGGAGGGGUUCAUGUCGCCGCGGCAGAGCAGGAGGCCGUAGACGGCGUCCGGGCCGACGCCGCGGACGCCGGAGGCGAAGAGGGUGGGGGAGGCGGAGGCGUUCGCGCGGAGGGUGCUCGCGAGGCGCAGGAGGUUGGACUCGUAGGUGCUCCCCGCCGUGUAGUUGCCGCCGCUGGUGCCGCAGACAGGCCAUGGCUGGGCGGCGGCGAGCGGGAGCGCGACCGCCGCGAAGAGGAGAACGGCAUGGGCGACCAAAGAGCGUCGCAGCAUUUUUUGCCGUAGAUGCAGCAGUUUG